rnacentral:rRNA from 1 species
AACCCCCAAUUUUUUUAAGGUUGA